GAAAAAAAGGGAGAAAGAAAGAAAGGAAGAAAGGAGGAAGAAGAAAAAGGAAAGGAAAUACCGAUUUGGUGAACCCGAGACAAGUAAGAAUCUACAAGGAUUCAAGGGACCCGAGGCAUGCAUGUAGGUAGAUCUUGGAAUGCAUGGUGAUUUUUGAGCUAAAUAAGCAAUGUCAAUGGUGACUAUGGAUGUGAAGACAUUGUGAACUAUACGUGUGGAACUCAAGCUAAAACUGAAAGGUAAGCAUGCAAUGUGGUCGCUUGGUGUUGUGUCGGCAUUGGUUAAUUGAUAGUAUAUGGAUUGUAUGUUAAAUGAUUGUGAGUAAGGGAUAAUGAAAACUAUGAGAUUAGGUUAUGGAAUUAUUGAUUGAUGUGCUGCCAUGCAUGUGAAUAAAUUAAGUGUAUUGAGCUUAUAUGGUUGAUAGGAAGUGUAUGAGUAAAGAAAAUGUGCAGUGGUGGCGUGCCAGAGGAGGUAACGGGUAAUUGGUGAGUGGAAUUAGCUAGAUACGUGCCCGAAUCAAUAGGGAUGUAGCGUCCUGCUAUUGUGAGAUAGUGAUCAGCCUAGCGUGCAUUCAAAGACAAUUUUAGUCCACCACAGAUAAGUAAAGGCAUUUUAUAGCACUUUAUUUCGAGUCCCUCCGCUGCUAGAGGUCGAGUCUUCAUUCAGUAAUUUGUUAUAGGAUUAGACAAUAGUGUCAAUUCAAAUGUACAUUCGAAAAUUAUAAGUCUUGUUGUAUCAUUUUUACAAUUAUUUCGAAUAAAGGUUUAU